rnacentral:rRNA from 1 species
UCAGAACGAACGCUGGCGGCAGGCUUAACACAUGCAAGUCGAGCGCCCCGCAAGGGGAGCGGCAGACGGGUGAGUAACGCGUGGGAACGUACCCUUUACUACGGAAUAACGCAGGGAAACUUGUGCUAAUACCGUAUGUGCCCUUCGGGGGAAAGAUUUAUCGGUAAGGGAUCGGCCCGCGUUGGAUUAGCUAGUUGGUGGGGUAAAGGCCUACCAAGGCGACGAUCCAUAGCUGGUCUGAGAGGAUGAUCAGCCACAUUGGGACUGAGACACGGCCCAAACUCCUACGGGAGGCAGCAGUGGGGAAUAUUGGACAAUGGGCGCAAGCCUGAUCCAGCCAUGCCGCGUGAGUGAUGAAGGCCCUAGGGUUGUAAAGCUCUUUCACCGGAGAAGAUAAUGACGGUUCCGAG